GAUGAACGCUGGCGGCGUGCCUAAUACAUGCAAGUCGAGCGAACGGACGAGAAGCUUGCUUCUCUGAUGUUAGCGGCGGACGGGUGAGUAACACGUGGAUAACCUACCUAUAAGACUGGGAUAACUUCGGGAAACCGGAGCUAAUACCGGAUGAUAUUUUGAACCGCAUGGUUCAAAAGUGAAAGACGGUCUUGCUGUCACUUAUAGAUGGAUCCGCGCUGCAUUAGCUAGUUGGUAAGGUAACGGCUUACCAAGGCAACGAUGCAUAGCCGACCUGAGAGGGUGAUCGGCCACACUGGAACUGAGACACGGUCCAGACUCCUACGGGAGGCAGCAGUAGGGAAUCUUCCGCAAUGGGCGAAAGCCUGACGGAGCAACGCCGCGUGAGUGAUGAAGGUCUUCGGAUCGUAAAACGCUGUUAUUAGGGAAGAACAUAUGUGUAAGUAACUGUGCACAUCUUGACGGGACCUAAUCAGAAAGCCACGGCUAACUACGU
rnacentral:rRNA from 1 species